rnacentral:rRNA from 1 species
GGAUUCGNAUGGGGGAACCCUGACGCAGCAACGCCGCGUGGAGGAUGAAGCCCUUUGGGGCGUAAACUCCUUUCGACCAAGACGAUAAUGACGGUACUGGUGGAAGAAGCACCGGCUAACUCUGUGCCAGCAGCCGCGGUAAUACAGAGGGUGCAAGCGUUGUUCGGAAUUAUUGGGCGUAAAGGGCGCGUAGGCGGUGCCACAAGUCACCUGUGAAAUCUCCGGGCUUAACUCGGAGCCUGCAGGCGAAACUGUGGUGCUGGAGUGUGGGAGAGGUGCGUGGAACUCCCGGUGUAGCGGUGAAAUGCGUAGAUAUCGGGAGGAACACCUGUGGCGAAAGCGGCGCACUGGACCAUAACUGACGCUGAGGCGCGAAAGCUAGGGGAGCAAACAGGAUUAGAUACCCUGGUAGUCCUAGCCCUAAACGAUGAUUGCUUGGUGUAGCAGGUACCCAAUCCUGCUGUGCCGCAGCUAACGCGAUAAGCAAUCCGCCUGGGGAGUACGGUCGCAAGGCUGAAACUCAAAAAAAUUGACGGA